CCUACGGGAGGCAGCAGUGAGGAAUAUUGGUCAAUGGGCGCGAGCCUGAACCAGCCAAGUCGCGUGAGGGAUGACGGCCCUACGGGUUGUAAACCUCUUUUGCCGGGGAGCAACGGGCGCCACGUGUGGCGCCACUGAGAGUACCCGGAGAAAAAGCAUCUGUUAACUCCGUGCCAGCAGCCGCGGUCAUACGGAGGAUGCGAGCGUUCUCCGGUUUUAUUGGGUUUAAAGGGGGCGUAGGCGGAUCGUUAAGUCAGUGGUCAAAUUGAGGGGCUCAACCCCUUCCCGCCAUUGAAACUGGCGCUCUUGAGUGGGCGAGAGGAAGGCGGAAGGCGUGGUGUAGCGGUGGAAUGCAUAGAUAUCACGCAGAACCCCGAUUGCGAAGGCAGCCUUCCGGCGCCCUACUGACGCUGAGGCACGAAAGUGCGGGGAUCGAACAGGAUUAGAUACCCGAGUAGUC
rnacentral:rRNA from 1 species